rnacentral:lncRNA from 1 species
UUCGUAGGGCCUUGGCGCAUAGAACUAAGUCCUAGUCAUGUAUAAUGUGUGUAUGUAUACUAGUAUAAGCUGUAUAGUAUAUAAGAAGUACGAUACAAACCUAGAGCUAUCUCCUUGUCUUUCUUCCUAGCCUUAGCCUAUCUUAUCUUGAGUUUGGUUCUCUUGUGUGUCACACUACCCUGCUAUUAUCCUUAUCCCUAUUUGAACUUUGGUCUAUUCAAUUAGGAUAUAUUCAUAAACAUAGUAACUCUUUUGACAUACCCGCCUUCCUUUGGAAAAUAUGAUACCCUAGAAUACUCUUGGGUGAAAUGCUA